UCUGUGUAGAUUUCUCGAGUUUCAUUCAAAAAAGUUAGACGUGCGGGUUUAAAAAAUUAUAAAAAGAAAAAAAUUUAAUUAUUUUAUUUUUUUUUUAUUUUGAUUCUUAAACAAAUAAAAGAAUUAUUAAAAAAUAGGAAAAAUUAAUAGUAAUACGAAAAAAAACUUGAAAUUAUAAUUUGGCAAAAAAAUGACAUUUAAAAAAAUUAAAAAAUUCAAUUGAAAACUUUAAAGAAAAGAAGGAAAAAAAAAUUGGAGAAGAGAAAAUUUUUGUGGAAAAAAAAAUUUUUUUCAUGUCGACAUAAUACGAAUCCAACAACAACAACAAGAAUAGAAAAAAAAAUAAAAUAAAAGGCUGAAAUUUACUCUAUAAGCACAGCCAGCCACCCAAUUUUUUUUCUCGUUACCCGAAUUUGUUAUUUUUUUUUUUGUUGUGUGUAAUAAAUUUUUUUUGUACGUCCAAAUUAAAUUUUUCGUAAUAAUUUUUACAUUUUAUAUAGAGAAUUGCUUUUCAUUUUUUUUUCUUAUUUUUUUUUUGCAUAAUAAAAUAAUUAAUUAAAUUAAGUGAAUAUUUGAGAAAAGUUUUAGAAAAAAAAAAUGUGAUAAAUUUUUGGUAUUUAUUGUUGUUCUACUCAUUCAAUGUCCAACAAAAUUUGAAUUUUUCAUUUUGAAAAAUUCUAUGGAAAGAGAUUGAAAAACAAGAGAAAGAAUUAUGAAAUUUCUAUAAUUUAAUUUAUUUUUUAUAUUGAUUAAAUCCAAUAAUCAACCUAUCAAUUAAACAGAAACUAUAAAUUAUUGAAUUUAAUUGGGAGCAAAUUGAUUUGCAAUAAAAUUGAAAUUUUAAAGUCAACAAGAAAAUCUUUUAAGAGUGUAAAUUUUUUUUUUCCUGCUUUUAUAAAAACAAAUAUGAAAACUGGUUUUGAAUGAAAUUUUAAUUUAAAAUUAAUAUAAUUAAAAAUUUUUAGGUUGAAUAAAACGGAAAAUAUUUACGGAAUACCUGCUUAAGUAUUAUGUAUAUUUGAAAAGGUGGCAACCAGUUAAAUACAUGCAGUUCAAUCUCAACUUAAAUGUGGACAAAACAAAUGGAAAAAAUUUUCAUUUAAACUGAAUGGAUUUAAGACAAAAUAGAAAAAAGGAAAAACAAAAUUUUAAAUCCGAAAAGGAAAAAUAACAUAUGAGAAACGAAGGAAAACUAAAAAGAAAAGAAAAAUCAAUUGCUUGUGUGGCAUAUAGGCAUAUAGGGUAACCUAUACAACAUAAGAGGGUAAUCUAUUCAACAUUAAUAUACAACAACCUAUACAACAUACUUGCCUACCAAUAAAACCCAAUAUUAUGUAGGUAGCUGAAGGCAUUUAUUGAUCUAUGAAUAUUUCAAAAAUAUACAAGCAACAGUAACCAGUUUAAGCAUCACAAAAAAGCAGUGCUUUUCUAUCGUAUAAUUUAAUUUUUGUAUAUAAGUAAAAAAUAUGAUCUUAUAAAAUAUUUUAAGAGAAACAAAUAACAAUUAAGUAAUUAUAAAAUUUAGUUAAUAAAUGCAAAAAAAAAUAAUAAAAAUUUCUAAAUUAAAUAUUAUAUAAUUAUUAAUUAAUAUAAGUAAAUCUAACCUAUAUUAAUAUCAACCUAUUUGGAAAUUGGAUUAAAAUUAAAUAUUAAAAAUUGAAAAUAUAAUUAAAAAUUAAAUUAAAUUAAUAACUAUUUAAUUAUAACAUAUAACAGAACGUAAUAUAAAUAUAUAUAUAUAUAGUGAAAUUACCUAGUGAAAUAAAAAAAAAAAAAUCAAUAUGGCUCACAAUACAAAUUUAUUAAGUUCGGAUAUAUCACGUAGAAAUCCUCAAGAUGAAUAUGAAUUAAUACAAAAAAUUGGUUCUGGUACAUAUGGGGAUGUUUAUAAGGUAAGGAAACGUAUGAGUACUCAAUCAUCUUAACUUUACAAAGUUACCUAUUCUGACUUCAUGUAGUUCUGUGAGAAAUAUAUGGAAACUGUUUUAAAAUCAAUAAUCUACAGAACUUCUAGAUUUUGGUAUGAAACUUUAAAAGUAAUUUGAAGUAGGUUUUUUUUUUUGUAAAAUAAUUUGUGAGAAUCAACCCUUCCAUACUGGAAGCGUUUUGAAAGAAAUAAAAUUAAAGCGUAAAUUUUUUCUUCGUUUAAAAAUUUAUUGAUUAAUAAUAAGUUUAUAGAGUGUUGUAAAAAUGUUAAUCGAAAAAAAAAAAAUAAUAUUUUUAUAAUUUAAUUAGUUAUUAACUUACAUAACUUUUUAACUUAGUUAUUUUGCACAUUAGUUCUUAAUUAUAGCAUGAAGGCAAAAAUUAAAUUUAUUUCAUUUUUGUUUUUGUGCUUCGUUUGAGAAAAUUUUCUUUAUAUGGAAAAAUUAAAUUUUUAAAAUGAUUUGAAAAACAUGCAUAAGAGUAAAUAAACGUGAAAGAGAAUGUUAGCAAUUGUAGAAACGCAGUAAACUCUCGAAAAUUUAAACUGAAAUUUGAGACCAAGUAACAGACAAUUUGUUUUGUAUUCGCAUUCAUGGUUUCGUUUAACUCCAGAGACAAAUCACACACAUCAUUCUUUACUGAUAACAUUUUUUUUAUUAUUGACACCCGAUAUAUAUAAUGAAAGCUCCCGUUAUUAACCUUAAAUUCUACUAUAUAAUAUAAUCGGCCCUGAAAUUGCGAUGCGUACAAAUUCCUUUCACUACGCUUCUCCUACUAUUUAGAAGACGGAUAUUCGCUGAUAUUCAUAUGGGGUAUCAAAUGACGAGAUUACCAACGAAGUGAAUGUAAUAAUUUCGCUUUGAAUACUCACUCAGUACUGUCGUUUGUCAGUCCUAGUCGUAAAUUGAUCAGUUUAUUUAGCUCUAAUAGUUAAAUUACUGCUUCUUCCGCCUUGAUUGUAGAUUCUUCAGCCUUAAUUGUUUGCAAGAGUAAAAUAGCAAAUGCUUUAUUCAUGUAAGCUAA